UAGGGAAUCUUCGGCAAUGGACGAAAGUCUGACCGAGCAACGCCGCGUGAGUGAAGAAGGUUUUCGGAUCGUAAAACUCUGUUGUUAGAGAAGAACAAGGACGUUAGUAACUGAACGUCCCCUGACGGUAUCUAACCAGAAAGCCACGGCUAACUACGUGCCAGCAGCCGCGGUAAUACGUAGGUGGCAAGCGUUGUUCGGAUUUAUUGGGCGUAAAGCGAGCGCAGGCGGUUUCUUAAGUCUGAUGUGAAAGCCCCCGGCUCAACCGGGGAGGGUCAUUGGAAGCUGGGAGACUUGAGUGCAGAAGAGGGGAGUGGAAUUCCAUGUGUAGCGGUGAAAUGCGUAGAUAUAUGGAGGAACACCAGUGGCGAAGGCGGCUCUCUGGUCUGUAACUGACGCUGAGGCUCGAAAGCGUGGGGAGCAAACAGG
rnacentral:rRNA from 1 species